AAUCGACGCUGGCGGCGUGCCUCAGACAUGCAAGUCGAACGUGAAAGUUCCUUCGGGAAUGAGUAAAGUGGCGCACGGGUGAGUAACACGUGGGUAAUUUGCCUUCGGGUGGGGAAUACCAACCGGAAACGGUUGUUAAUACCGCAUGAUGCAGCGGCUCCGAUUGGAGACAGUUGUUAAAGCGGGGGAGCGGAGUAAUCCGUCCUCGCGCCUGAAGAGAAGCCCGCGGCGGAUUAGGUAGUUGGGAGGUAUGCUCACCAAGCCUGCGACUCCGUAACCGACCUGAGGAGGGGUGGUCGGUCACACUGACACUGACA
rnacentral:rRNA from 1 species